rnacentral:sRNA from 1 species
CUUCCGGUCGCGGGACACCGGGCGUAGAGGGCGGUCGCGGCGGGCAGUGGCGGCAGAAAGUGUUGUGAAGAGCGAAGACUUUUCGCUCUCAGCUUAUGUGGAUCGGCGUGACCACCCCUUGCCGGAGGUGGCCCAUGUCAAGCACCUGUCUGCCAGCCAGAAGGCCUUGAAGGAGAAGGAGAAGGCCUCCUGGAGCAGCCUCUCCAUGGAUGAGAAAGUCGAGUGUGGGUAUUGAAGGGACCCACAGGCGCGCCCAGCAGCUCUUGGAAGUGUGUGUGUGUGUGUGUGUGUGUGUGUGUGUGUGUGUGUGUGUGUGUGCGUGCCUCUGCUCACUUCUGGGCCUACUGUCUAGAGAGCAGUCUUGCACAGGAGGGUUGCUGUGCUGGGUUUCGGGGUCACUGUCCCAGGGCCCCAGUUUAUGUGCUCACCAGUCACUUAGCUCUGCCAGCUGACAGAAUCUUUUGCUAGGCCCCCUUCUCUGUGCUGAGUGGAGGUAGCCUCUCAGCAUAUUUGCUGAGUAAGACAUUGUUAACUGUAAAUUACUGAAAGAAACUCAGCAAAAUGCAUAGUGUUUGAUAUGAAA